CAGAAGGCUAUGCUCUUAUGACAGAUUAAGGCUAUGCCUUAAUCCCACCAAACUAGGUGAUGUGCUGUUCUGCAUGGCAGGAGGUGGAACAAAAUGCAGUUCUUAGAUAUAACCAUUUGUGGGAAAUGUUCUGAGAAACCCUGCAUGUGAAGAUUUCAAAAAGAAAUGCUCUUUGGUAUCAUUAGAAAGCUUAUCAUCUAAUUCUGCUGAACAUAAGGGAUGAAGAUGUUCAUUACAUAGGUAAGUAUUCUCCCUUUGUAUUCAGCUGUUAAUAGAAUCAGUAAGCUUGGGCAGCCCAGGUGGCUCAGCGGUUUAGCGCUGCCUUAAGCCCCAAGUGUGAUCCUGGAGACCUGGGAUCAAGUCCCACGUCCAGCUCCCUGCAUGGAGCCUGCUUCUCCAUCUGCCUAGGUCUCUGCCUCUCUCUUUGUGUGUCUCUCAUGAAUAAAUAAAUAAAAUGUUUAAAUAAAAAUAGAAUCAGUAAGCUUAAAAGUCUUAAUUCUAGGAAGCCAUAAUAUUUGAAUUAUGCAAGUGUCUAUUAAAGAGUAUUUAAUGAUAUUUGGGAUGAAUCCUCGUAGCUGUAACCAGGAAAAUUGAGGGUUAUUUUUUUUUUCACAGAUGUGCUUUCUUAAUUUGCAUACACACAAUGCAUAAUUAUAUGCCAUGUAGCUUCAUAGAUAGAUGUUUUAUAGGUAUAUCUGGCAAAUGUGAGAACAAUUUUAACUGUGAUUAGUGAAAAGAAUAAGGUCUUUAAAUACUGUAUGAUCUGUAGUAAUAUCCUGGUUCUGUUUUGUACUGGCUGUGUGACCAUGAUAGAGUAACUUAAACUCUCUGGGCCUGUUUUCUCAUCAAUAUGAUGAGUUUAAUAAUCCCAUUUCCCAGGUUUUUGUGGUAACUGAGACUUCUAGAGGUUGAAGGUAAGAUUGGAUGGACCUGUGAUACCUGUGACAUCUUAUGGCCUAUCCUCUCUUCCCCCUGGAGGAUUCUUAGCUAAAGAAAUUCAAAGAACAGCCAAAUGGGAGAUAUUGUUUAUUAUCUUGUCUAGUGUCUAAUAGUUUGAGGAGCACCCAGUUAUUCUCAAUGCAGAAUGCAUAACCCUUCUUCCUCCCCCUGAAACUAUAACUGCCAGGUCUACAAAGUAGGCCUUGGAUGUAGGUCUCCACUACAGUACUUCCUCUCCCUGUUCAGACCUAUCAAGUGUGAACAACAGUAGUUCAACAAUCUUAGCUUUUAUUAAUAUACUAAGUCAAUAUAAAUAGAGCUGUGAUACUAUGAGUUUUCCUCAACAUAGAAACAAAACAGUCCAUCUUACCAUUUUCAAUACUGCCCACCUUAUCAGUGUGUGUGUGUGUGUAUAUAUUUAUAUACAUACCUGUUCAUGUGUCUUUUUCUUAAAUAUAAACGCUGUGUGCUUUACAUGAAGGCUUUUGGUAGCUGUACUCUGAAACCUGAUAGAAUCCAUUUGUGAUGGCCUAUUUAUCAUUAUGCUUGACUAGACAAGCAGACCCUUUAUGUUGGAGGUUUCCAAGGGUAAGCUGUUUCUUCUAUGUCAUGAAUGGUUGGCUACAAUUUUUGAAGGAAAAAGGUGAGCCUUGCAUGGAAUUUAUGUUCCUUUUCAAAAUUUAACUAAUUUCUUUUCUUCUUAGUGGACUUUCUAAAAAUUCAUUAUUUCCUUUUUCUCACUUUGUUUCUUCCUAGAAAACAAACCAAAACUUUUUACCAAAAUUUUUUACUGUGGCCACAGACAUUUUAAUCUAACAACAUUUCAAAACUAGAUAGUAUAUACCUAUUUGUAAUACGAGAUAAAUAGAAACUUAAUAUUCCCAUAAUUCAUUUAUAUACUGAUGCCUAUGGUUCUCCUGACAUUUGUUCUCUCAAUCCCUGACUUUUCUACUGAUGUCACAUUUAUCCGAAGAGAGAUGUAGAGCCCCCCACUUACUGAGCAAAAUGGAGGAUCAAGAUGAUGUUAUGAGCAGUGUCCUACUCUCAACAAGCAGUUUCACUGGUUUCUCUGGUCCCCAGCAUUAUCAGUGCAGCUUUCAAGGAGCAAAAAUUGGAGCAAGCAAGGUGGCUAAAGCAUGGAAAUGGCUCAAAGAUCUGUGGUUUUGCUGGAAUCCUGAAGAAUCUUGAAGAAACUCUGCCUGUA